UUUAAUGGCCGCAGUAAUUUAACUGUGCGAAGGUAGCAUAAUCAAUAGUUUUUUAAUUGAAAGCUUGCAUGAAAGGUUGGACGAGAUAAUAUCUGUCUUUAUUAUAAUUAUUUUAGAAUUUAAUUUUUAAGUUAAAAAGCUUAAAUUUUUUUAAAAGACGAGAAGACCCUAUAGAGUUUUAUAAUUUAAAAUUUAUAAUUAUUUUAGAUUAUUUAAUUUUGUAAGUUUAUAUUUAUUUUAUUGGGGUAAUAGAAAGAUUUAUAUAAUUCUUUUUUUUUUAUUUAUUUAUUUAUAUAUUUAUGAUCCUUUUUUAGAGAUUAUAAGAUUAAAUUACCUUAGGGAUAACAGCGUAAUUUUUUUUGAAAGUUCUUAUUGAUAAAAAAGAUUGCGACCUCGAUGUUGGAUUAAAGAUUAAUUUAGGUGCAAAAGUUUAAAUUUUUGGUCUGUUCGACCAUUAAAUCUUUACAUGAUCUGAGUUCAGACCGGUGUGAGCCAGGUCGGUUUCUAUCUUUAUUUAUAUAUAAUAUUUUAGUACGAAAGGACCAAAUAUUAAUUAUAUUAAUUAUUAUUUUGAAUAUUAUU
rnacentral:rRNA from 1 species